rnacentral:rRNA from 1 species
UCCCACCUGACCCCAUGCCGAACUCAGAAGUGAAACGCCGUAGCGCCGAUGGUAGUGUGGGGGCUCCCCAUGCGAGAGUAGGGAACUGCCAGGC